UGGCGAACGGGUGAGUAACACGUGGGUGAUCUGCCCUGCACUCUGGGAUAAGCCUGGGAAACUGGGUCUAAUACCGGAUAGGACCAUGCUUUAGUGUGUGUGGUGGAAAGUUUUUUCGGUGUAGGAUUAGCCCGCGGCCUAUCAGCUUGUUGGUGGGGUAAUGGCCUACCAAGGCGGCGACGGGUAGCCGGACUGAGAGGUUGGUCGGCCACAUUGGGACUGAGAUACGGCCCAG
rnacentral:rRNA from 1 species